rnacentral:rRNA from 1 species
UAAUACGUAGGGUGCGAGCGUUAAUCGGAAUUACUGGGCGUAAAGCGUGCGCAGGCGGUUUUGUAAGCCAGAUGUGAAAUCCCCGGGCUUAACCUGGGAAUGGCAUUUGGGACUGCAAGGCUGGAGUGCGGCAGAGGAGACUGGAAUUCCUGGUGUAGCAGUGAAAUGCGUAGAUAUCAGGAGGAAUACCGAUGGCGAAGGCAGGUCUCUGGGCUGACACUGACGCUCAUGCACGAAAGCGUGGGGAGCAAACAGGA